GGAGAAUAGCCCAGAGAAAUUUGGAUUAAUGCUCCAUAGUAUUAAUUGGUCACCUGGCCGAUUAAUUAAAGUUCCGGCGGUAAGAGAUGAGUAUGCGUCCUAUUAGCUAGAUGGUAAGGUAACGGCUUACCAUGGCGACGAUAGGGGGGUCCUGAGAGGGAGAUCCCCCACACUGGUACUGAGACACGGACCAG
rnacentral:rRNA from 1 species